AGAACUACAAAUCGUACAUGUUCUACGAGGAGUACACUUGCUGGUCGAGUAACGACCACGAAGUGAGGAGCAGGACUCCAGCUAGGAGGCUCGAUCACUGCUGGGGCGGCUGCGUUUGCAAGCAUGAAACGGUACGAGCUUAUCCUGACGGACCAUGUGUGGCAGCAUACAGCUGCAGAGACCAAUACUUCAUGAAAACCCUGGCUAAGUUGCCAAUGGACUUUGUUUAUUUUAGAUAAA